rnacentral:lncRNA from 1 species
CUGGGAUUAUAGGCAUGAGCCACUGCACCCAGCUUUUGUGCUCUCUUUUUAAUUAUUAUAUUCUUUUAAAUUAUUACAUGUUAUUCCAUAGAUAAAUACAUUGUCGUUUAUUUAGCCAGUUUCCUGCUGAUGGGCAUUUAGGCUGUUUGCGUUUUAUGCUAUUAUAAAUAAUGCUGCAUGGACACCAUUUGUAUUUUUUACAUUGAUCUGAAUAAAGUGUGUUACAUUUAUAGAGAGAAAAAAUAUUUGUAAAUAUUUAAAAAUAUUUGUUUUAAUUUGAACUGGAACAAAGGCCAUGACUUUAGGUUUAAUUCAGCGUGUGUCCCCAUCUUUCAAGUGGCCAAGGUUGUCCAAGACACACAUAAUGCCUUUACACUGUUUAUGUGUUAGAACUAAGUGAUAACACUUGCCUUCCAUCUAUUAUUUUUUCCCUCACAGAAUUCAGAGCAGUAUAAAUCUGUCAGCUCCCCAACUUUCAGGAUCCAUAGGAGAACUGAAAAGACCAACCACUGCUACAGAUAAGGGAUUGAAUCUCAUUCCUUCUAAAACCUCAAGUCAUAGAAACUGAGACCUGGAGAGAGAUUUUUCAACCCACAGAGGGACAGGAGGUGAUAAAAUAGAUAUCUCAACCCCCAUGGCAGAUCAGAAUUCGUAGCUAGAAUUGAUAUAAUUUGAUCCCUUGGAUACGCAAUCACAUUCGUUCCUGUCAUCACUUGAUCUUCAACUCUUACCCUUACACUUGGGAUGCUGGAGACAAUUAAUGAGGAAAUCAGCAAAUUCCCAGCUACUUCUACUUGGUGCCAUGUCAUCCUUAACCAAAGGUGCAACUGAGUGUAAAAUAAAUAAAGUUCUUGUAUUUGGUAAAAUUAGUUACAACACAAAGGCUCUCUGGUAAAAAAAAAAAAAAAAAAAAACAGAGAAAAAGAAAAAAGGGAAAGAAAACACUCCCCUCCCUUCAGCCUCCCCUCAAGCCUCUAAUCUCAUCUGUGAAAAAGAACUGUACUUUACUGUCCACAAAACAGUCUAUUUUCAAAGUGAGAGGAGAAUGGCCCUGUGAGGAAAGCCAUCAGUAACUGCAGUUCCCAAAUUCCUGCUUGUUUAUAGAAAGUAGUGGCGGAGGAUAGACACUUUGAAACCACCUGUGAAAGAAUUAAAGACCAAGGGGGGCAAACCCCCAUCACAAACAGAAUCUCACUGAUCAAGUGUGAAAGAAAAGGAAGAAAGAAAAAGCCAAGUAGAUCUUUGCAGGCAACCACUAGAUGGACAUAGAAUUCAAAAACAUUCUUUAGCGAGAUCAAGGAUGGCAGGCUUUGAAGCCUGGAGAGCUGGCGAGUCUCAGAACGGCCUGGCCGUGGCAAGCCCCGCACCGAAGCGCCCGCAGUCUUGCACUUGCUGGAGUAAAGCAUUUAAAUUGGAACAAUGUCAAAUUUCACAGCUAUCUUAUGUCUAGUGACCUUACGGGACCCCAAGGGGAAGACAGAUAAAAAAUGAUUGUUCUCGACAAGUUCCUGAAAGCAAAGAAGUCAAAUAGGCAACCUCUUGAAAUGAAAUCGCCCACAAACUGUUGCAUGCAGGGUGGCCAGCAAACAGGGCUUAUUUAUUUAUUCAUCUAUUUAUUCAUUUUACCAAGGACUCAUAGCGUGUCCCUUUCUUCAUAGAACACACACAAAGAUAAAGUCCCAUCAUCACAGUAUAUUAAUUUAGAAAGAAGGUUAUUGUGGGCAAAGAGGAGGUAACAACUAUUCUGAAUUAUUCAAUCGAUUUGAAACAGGUUUUACUGUUGUUUCAAGAAAGCGAGACAUAACUAGUGUCUGACACACAAAAAAACUAUACAUUACGUGAAAGAACAGUUUAUGAGGACAAAGACGAGAUCUCAAACUUCUGCUGUGUUUUUUAGACAAGAAUUUCAAUGACACUUCACAUCCCCUAACUAUGCCUAAAAGGAGGAAGAGGUUUAUUCACACAAGAACAGCUAUCUGUACCUAUGUUUCCGCCUGUCUCUGAUUGGAGACUGAAGUCAGGAGGACUUCUUGGAAGAAGCAAGGAACUGAAUUUGGUUUUUGAAAGAGACUGAGAAAAUGCUGAGUGUGAAUGUUGUGGGGGCAUUUCAGAGAUACCCCUUACAAUAAUUCCAUAGACUAGGAAUUGUGAGAUUUGUUGUAUGAUCUUUCUUUCAUUAUUUAGUUAUAGAUUCUAUGGCUUUUUAAAUAUUUAGGUUAGACAAAUGUUUUGACUGUGGAAGAUACAUUUAAAAAGGGAUGCUAAACAAAUCAAGAUUUACUAAAACUGAACAACAGAAAUCCUGUAAAACACUAUCAUUUAAGCCCAACAGGUGGACACACAAACCAAUUACAAAUCAAAGAGGCUUUGAUCCAUGGAGUCUUUGGUGUAUGCCGAAUAAAAUACAUUCAAAAUGUAUUUGUAGUGUGAGAUAAAGAUAUAAAGGUCACUUUGUAAGUGCUGCCUAUGUUAGUAGUUUUAAUUUUACCUUGUCAGUGCCUCUGUGUACAAAACUGAAGAAAGCAAGACUUUGAUUUGUUCAGGUUUCCUUAAGGAGGGACACAGAAUCCUUGAAGCAUGAUUUGAAAAAGAUGGAUAAGAUAUUCUACCCAAAAUUCAACAUCACCUUUAAUCUUGCCCUCUCCUCCUCUAAUCCCUAGGUAAUGUUUUGUGCUUCUUUUGCAGAAAAGCAAUUUUGUUAAUCACUUUAGCACCAAUUCUUGCAUCCCUGGCAAUACUCAGAACUGCUUCCAUCCAAGUCUUUGAUGUGGGAAAGAAACACACACACACUCUUUCGCAUGUAAUCUGAAAACAAUUCACCUCUUGCCAAUGAAUGCACAGCACUCCACUUUAAUAGAGAGCAAGUUCUGUGGAGGUUUCUAAUCCUUUCUGCCAAAGAAGAGAAGAGAGAGAAUCACUCAGGAUCCCAUCCAGAAUACAUUACCUUUAGUCAUCAUGUCUCCUGUGGCUCUUCUUGGCUGUGACAGUUUCUCAGCUUUCCCAGUUUUAAUGAACUUGCCAUUUUCAUCAGAUUGUACCAAGACCUACUAUCAAUAUGACUUAUGACUAGUGGUGCUGACCUUGAUCACCUGGCUGAGGUAGUUCUUGUCAGGCUUCUCCACUGUCGAGUUGCUCUCCCCAUCCCCCUUUUCCAUAUUGUACUCUUUGAAAGAAAGUCACUAUAUGCAGCCCUUCCUUAAAAAUAUUAAAAUGAACUAGCUUAAUUAAGUUCUUUCUUACAUUUAGGUGUAAAUACCUCUGAGGUUUUUUUCUUUUAAAAAAUGAUUAUCUAUGUAAUACAUACUCACUGCACAAGACUUUAAAAAUGCAAGAAAAGUAUAAAGCAGCAGCAAAUAGAACUACCCAUAAUUCCAUCUGUCACAAGCAACCAUUUCUAGCUUUUUGUCAUAUUUCCUUCCAGUUUUUUUUCUUCUGCAUAAAAUAACUAUUUUUAUUUCUAUUUAUUUAUUUUUUUGAGACAGAGUUUCACUCUGUCACCAGGCUGGAGUGCCGUGGCACAAUCUCGGUUCUCUACAACCUCCACCUCCCAGGUUCAAGGGAUUCUCCUGCCUCAGCCUCCUGAGUAGCUGGGACUACAGGCGUGCACCACCAUGCCCAGCUAAUUUUUGUAUUUUUAGUAGAGACGGGGUUUCACCAUGUUGGCCAGGAUGGUCUUGAUCUCUUGACCUUGUGAUCCACCCGCCUCGGCCUCCCAAAGUGCUGGGAUUACAGGCAUGAGCCAUCGCGCCUGGCCAAAAUAACUAUUUUUAAAUAGCACUUGCUUGAAAUUAUUUCAUAGGUGGUAAAAAUAUUUUAUCUUUGAAUAUGGCAAAGAAGAUGGAUUCAUAUAAAACCAGAGCAGAUCUUGGUGGUACUUCAAGAUAUAAACUACCAACCCAAUAGAUAAUUUCUGAAAAUAACAUUUUAGAGUCUCUUCCUCUAUUUUUGAGAAGCUUGAAUAUUUACAAAUACAGCAUUCACUGUGAGACUUCUUGUUUCUUUUCCUUUCUAAGACUUUUAACUUGUUGUUUAUUUUACUAUUACAUGAAACACAUUUUAUUUUAAUUUUUAAAGUUUUAGUGUUUUUUGAGACAAGGUCUCAUUCUGUUGCCCAGUUUGGAGUGCAGUGGCAUGAACAUGGCUCACUGCAGCCUCAACUUUUUGGGCUCAAGUAAUCCUCUAGCUUCAGCUUCACGAGUAGCUGGGACUACAGGUAUACACCACCACACCUACCUAAUUUAUUCUUACAGUUUUUAGAGACGGGGGUCUCGCUGUGUUGCCCAGGCUGGUCUUGAACUCCUGGGCUCAAGCAAUCUUCCUGCCUCAGCCUCCCAAAGUGCUGGGAUUACAGGGAUGAGUCACCAUACCCAGCCUUAUUUAAAUAAGGUUUGAGGAAACUUGGGUAGCUGGUUAAAACUCUGGCAAUGAUCUAGGUUUCAAAUCAUCAAAUUCCUUUUUGCAUGGUGUAUAGACUCAUGACAACUCUUAUUUUUUUAAAGACUUUAUUUUGUACAUGCUUCUUAUUAAAAAAUUAAUACAGAAAAGUACAAAGUAAAAUCCCAAAAUUCUAUCACCUAAAAAAACCAUUAUUAACAUUAUUCCACAAACCUUCCCUUUGCAUAUAUACACAGAGAGAUAAAUUUACACAAAAGGCUCACACAUACCAUACAUAGUUACUAAAUGAGGAUGAAGCAAAAUGAAGAAAUUGAAGAAAAUGAAGCUGAAACAAAAUGAAGGAAUUACCAAAUUUUAGCUAAAUGUUCUUUUGCAAGACACUUUAGUUCCUAACAAUCCCUUUGAAGUUUUGAAAAAAGAUUAUGAAAAGCAUUAAGAGUUUGAAAGUCUACAUAAUUAACUUUUUUUUUUUUUUUUUUUUGAGACAGGGUCUUGCUCUGUUGCCCAUGCUGGAGUGCCUUGGUGUGAUCAUGGCUCACUGCAGCCUUGACCUCCCAGGCUCAACUGGUCCUCCCACUUCAGCCUCCGAAGUAGCUGGGACCACAGAUGUGUGUCACCAAGCCCGGCUAAUUUUUUAAAAUUCUUUUGUAGAGACAGGAUCUUCCAGUGUUGCCCAGGCUGGUCUUGAACUCCUGGAGGCUGGUCUUGAACUCCUGGGCUCAAAAACAAUCCUCCUACCUCAGGCUUCCAAAGUGCCAGGAUUACAGGUGUGAGCCACCGUGGCUGGCUGGAAAACUCUUCUAAUAGUGGCUGGCAUGUAGUAAGUGCUUAUAGUAAAUGUAAGCCAAUGCUAUUAUAGAGGAAUAAUGGUGAGCAUCUGGGCCCACGUAUGAUAUUGAAAUCUGUCACUCACAAAAUAAUCUCUUUGUCUCUCAUUCAUCUCAGAAUAAUUUUCCUGUUAAAUCUACCAGCUCCUGAGGGGCCCUGAGGGUAUAACCAAUGAGUAUGUGGGCACCAAUGUAAUGAAUGUGUGAAUAGGUGAUUCUGUCAUCUGUUUAUAAGAAUGACCAGAAUACAAAAUUCUAGCCUUUUUACAAUCCUAAACAUAUACUAUGUGCUACCAAUAACAGCAACAAUCACCAUCAUGCAUGUCACUUACAUGUACACACUAACAUAAAGAACUUUAUAUCUCUGCUUUAAAAUCCUCUUUAAAAGUAAACUAUUAGCCUGGGUAACAUGGUGAGACCUUGUCAAUGAAAUAAAAAAAUUAGCCAGGCACCUGUAGGCCCAGCUGCUCUG